UCCACAAAUACACUGGCGUUGCUAAGGGCAACGUGGAAGGAGGGCCAGAUAUUGAGCCCUGCAAAAGCUUUACAGGAGAGGAUGAACAGAAGUCACGUGAGGCAAAGAGAAAGACACGUUGUACCGAGAGUGUUCGUGCAUCUUUCUGAGUUCACGGACACGAUGGAUAAUAUUUCAUCUCACAGAUUGUUUUGUCUGUGUGUAUUUAUAUCUGCUGCUGUUUGUCCGUCUGCUUCUUGUUUGUUUUGAUGUGACUUUGUAAGCUGUUACUGUGGCUAUAGAGGUGUGUUCCUGAGUGAUGCACCAACUUCACAUGUUCUGUCAGUUCUAUAUCCUAAUACACACAGAAAAAUUAAGAUGAUAUCUGGAACCGAAAAUGGUUCUUCAGAGUGAUGCCGUAGAAGAACCAUUUUUGGCUCCACAAAGAACCUUUCAAACCAGGGUUCUUUAAAAAAAAACUUUGCUUUAACCCUCCUGUUACCUUCGGGUCAAUUUGACCCCAUUCAAUGGUUAACCCUCCUGUUACCUUUAUAUUUACUGACAUAUUUUACCCUCGGGGUCAAUUUGACCCCAGCAAUUAAAACCUCCAGAAAAUUAUUAGAAUUAAUAUUGUUUUCCAAGUUUAAGUGUGAGGUACUUUAUGUUUGUUUGUUGACUACCUAAAUAUCCCUUUAAAUAUAUAAAAAAGUUGAUAUUUCUUAUAUGUUUGACACAGUGAAAAACAGCCUGGGGUCAAAUUGACCCGAAAGAACACCGACAUUAAACAUUGAAUGGGGUCAAAUUGACCCUAAGGUAACAGGAGUGUUAAAUAGUUUUUUAAAUAACCUCUAAAGGCGUCUAAAAGAACCUUUAAAAAAUGGUUCUUUACGGCACCAUUUCUGAUUCCACGAAGAACCUUUCAAACCAGGGUUCUUUAAAGAACUAUUUCCUUAAAGAGUUCUUCAAAGAACCUAUAAAUGUGUUUCAAACGAAAAAAUGGUUCUUCACUAGCUGAUGGUUCUUCGUAGAACCACAAAGGCUUUUAAAGAACCAUUUAAGAACCAUUAUUUUUCAGUGUGUAGCUGUUUAGGUCUGGACAAUAUAAUAUGUUAAGUUGUCUUCUUAAUGUUUGGACUGUAUAAUAAUAAAAUGGGAACGGUCCGUCUCUAGUUGACACACAUUUUAGAAAUCAAUCUGGAAUAAAUGUGCUAUGUUGUGUCUCUUGACAACAUAACAAGUGUGCAUCAUGAUGUAUGAUACCAAAAUAUAAUGCACAAUGACUCACAACAAAUGAUGUAAAGGCCUAUUAAUAUCGUAUUCCCCAGGUGUGAUCCAGUUAAAUUGCAAUAGGCCAAUCGGCAUCCAUUAUUUUGAGAGCUAUUGUGUAAAUCGUGUUGUGAAGACCUCACAUCCUCCCAAAGCAAAGAGGGUGUGGGAAGAGGAAGCGGCUGACCCUCCUCUACACCCUUCAUUCCUCCGCCUUUUUCCCUCCGAGGGUGGUAGUCGAGCACAUGUUGUCUGGUGACACUCACCACAUCCCAGGAGCGCCAGCAGAAAGGGCAGCAGGGAGACAGCCUGUGGCAUUCCGAUGUCCGUGCCUCGGUAUUCUCCUUCACCACGUGACCGUCCUCUUCCACCAUCCCUGACCUCUGACCAUCAUGAGGCAAAUCACAAAGACAAUAUACAAAAUAUACAAACAAAAUCAAACAGGAAGGCAUGCAGGCAACAACCAAGAGCGCUGCACACAGAAUCAGGCUUGGAAGAUGUAGUGCGCUGAUCUGAGGUCAGUGCUGCAGCAUGAAGCUCUGAGCUGUUCUUCCAUCUGCAGUCCAUAUAAAAUAGUUAUGAAGUAUAGGGCCAAAUCCUUGUUGUUUGGUUGCUUGCAUAUUUUUCACUCCUUUAUUUGUACUUAAAUCAUGAUGAUAUGUAUGACUAUUAUUACUAUCUGUCAUUUAAAACAACAUACUCGAACCUUUCUUGUUCUCGGACAUAUUACCACCUUCUGUAUAGUGUCUUCUUUUAUAUUUUAUAUUUUGUUCUUUCUUAUUGGAGUGUUAUUUCUGAGUCGCAGAGCCCUGCACUAGAUGUCCAAAGGGUGUGGACUGUUGGUUCUAGGCACAAAUGGUAAAUAAAAACUUGAAUCUUGAAA